rnacentral:sRNA from 1 species
AUAUCUCUCCGUACGGGAAGGAUGAGAAGCUUCGACUAAGGUUCGAUUCGAGCGAAAGCGAGAAAGCGUUGCCAACGGCAACGACCCGAAGGGCGAAGCACGCAGCGCUGAGUCAUCCUUCCCCCACCACCA